rnacentral:lncRNA from 1 species
AGGUCAGGACAGGAAGGGAAGCCAGAGCAGCUCCAUUUCAUUUCAAAAAAAAGCAAGAAGAGCCGUCAACACGGAAAAUCCCAUUCACAGGAAUGAAGCAUCCGGAGCUUAGAAAGAAGUCGAUGAGGCCAAGUCCUUUCAUGAGACGACUAGUCCUCUCGAUUUUACUAAGUAGCCUGAUUGACCUAAAGCUUCAUUGACUAGGACGGAAUGCAAAAGGAGAACUAGGUCUAAAAGCAUUGAUUAUGAGGUAAACCCUCUCUUUAUCUCUUUCUAUUUUCAGCUGCCUAGAAUGUCUUCUUUCUAUCCUUCUACCUGACCCUAAAGGAAUAGAAUGCUUCUAGGAAUUUGAGAUCAACCAGCUCUUAUAGACGAAAUCUAAUUUCUUAGUUCUCAACUGAGGAACCUGGCACCUAUAUGAUGACAUCAACCAAUCGCACUAACCGCGGGUCUUCUUUAUCAAAGUAUUCGCCUGAACCCAAGAUUACCGAAUAGUCAUUUCCUUUUUUGUCUACUAUUUUUGUAGUUAGGAAGGCGGCUAUGAGAUUACAAACAUCUGGAUUCCCCUCCCCUAUAGUUGAUUGAAUUACUUCGAGUAAAUGUUUGUGAUUUAUGUUAUCAAAGCAACCAACGAUAUCGGAUUUAACUAAGAAAUCAACGGGUCCCAACGUUCCAUUUUUUAAAAGAAAGUAAUUAGUCCUCGCCCUUUCCUAAACCCGUGAGAUUGAUCUGGAAUAUAAGAAGAAGGUCAGAGGGUAGUACAGUGUCUGGGUUAAGAGUGACUGUACAGGCAGUAGCUAGACCACUUGCAUGUAGAACAGAUCUAAUCACAAGGCACAAGGGGAUUAGGGGCGCCAUGACCUAGAAGCUCGUAGGCUAUGGCUCAGUUCAUACUAGAGUAGAGGCUAAGAACUGUCUCGCGAAGGUAGACCAUAGUUAGUGAGGAGAAAUUCUUGGCUAGAUCAUUCGAGUCAAUGCGGUGACUCACCUUCCCGCUUCCAGAAGAAGGUCCGACAUCCUUUUGUCAUCCGAUAGCUAGACCGAAUCAAGAUGGGGUGAACAUAAUCACCAAGUUAAGUUCACGACUUUGUUUAUGACCUCACGGCCACCAUCUUUCCCAGAGCUUGUCCCUCACUUCCACUCGGAAUGUAUGCAGUUCCAAAGUAAGGGCGGCAGGGAAUGCCUCCGCUUCGAGUAGAACUAAGAUAGAUAGAUCUUAUAUAUGAUAAUUGGCAAGAUCACACAUCGUUGACGUGAUAGCUUUCCUCUUGCCUACGCCUCUUGUUUAGCUCCUGAGGUGAAAAAAAAAAGGUGUAGGUGGGCAUAUCCAUGUUUGGGCACUUCACAUGAUGGGUCUUCCUCUUGCAAUCGAGAGAGGCAAAUAGGCGGAAAUCGGUACACUUUUAGUACGGUGGUAUGCGAGCAGCAAGACAGUAUGCAAUCAAUAAAUAGGAGCAAGCUUACUCAUAGUACGGUAAAUAAGCACAAGCAGCAGCAGGAGGGUACACCAUCCAUAUCCAUAAGAGAGGUUUUGAUAAACCGGACAUAAAGAAGUUACACUUUAAUACCCCGCGAACUUUCAUCUUAAACCUCAAUUGCAUAAGAAAGAGAAAGAGAACGUAAGUAAAGGAUACAACAACCAACGCUUCUUUUCUUCUUGCUUUCCCUCUUUCUGCCUUAGAAUGAGUUCGAGUGCUAAGUCUGGCCAGUACCAGUAAGUAAGAGUGACGCUGUGGAAUAGUAGUUCUAUGCUUUCAUUCCUAACUGAGUGAUUGAUUGAAUUGAAGUCUCCUUGUCUUGCUCCUUCACCUAUACCUAUGGCUAUAUCGAGGAAGACUUUGAUGGAGAAUUCCUAUAGGCUUUAAAAUGGAUAUUGAGUUUCCUUGGCAAGUUGCCCACUCCACUAAUUGAGAGUGGCUAAACUCUGAGGAAGAGACCGAAGAAAUGGCAAUGGAGUGAGAACAGUAUGACCCUUUGCUUUAAGGCAAGGUGGAGUAGCAAGAUUUUACCUUCUGAUCCCCUCUUUCUUACAUCAUAGCCUCCCCAGCGAGGGGGAAGUACCCCACGACUGCACUCGCUGGAGCUGUGUGUGUUACUCUACGAUAUAUAGAUAGAUGAAGCCUCCCUCCCGAAUGCUUUCUUUUACGUGAGGUUCUUUCGGAGCAUAGUGAGCGUGAGCGUGCUUUCUGAGGUUCCUAACCUUCCCGUCGUCCGGUGGGUGCCCUCGUGGUAGUACAUAAAAAAGGUAGGGCUGUGCUCAACUAAGUGAGUGAGUGAAGUUCAUACGUUAUUAAGUUGCAAUACACCGUGAGUUAGUCCUCGAAAGUUAUUAGACGACUAUGUUCUGACUCGACGCUACGAGCUUUGCUUAAUUUGAUUUGAUUGAGCUUAAGAGC